rnacentral:tRNA from 1 species
AGUAUGCAGCCAAGGGCCUUAGCUUUGCAAAAGCUAAUGAGGAGUUUCUCCCAUACUUUA